UACGAAGGGGGCUAGCGUUGUUCGGAAUUACUGGGCGUAAAGCGCACGUAGGCGGAUUGUUAAGUCGAGGGUGAAAUCCUGGAGCUCAACUCCAGAACUGCCUCCGAUACUGGCAAUCUUGAGUCCGGAAGAGGUGAGUGGAAUUCCUAGUGUAGAGGUGGAAUUCGUAGAUAUUAGGAAGAACACCAGUGGCGAAGGCGGCUCACUGGUCCGGUACUGACGCUGAGGUGCGAAAGCGUGGGGAGCGAACAGG
rnacentral:rRNA from 1 species